rnacentral:rRNA from 1 species
AACAAGGUCUCCGUUGGUGAACCAGCGGAGGGAUCAUUACAGAGUUGAAAAACUCCAACCCCUGUGAACCUACCUUUACUGUUGCUUCGGCGGACGAUGGCCCCCGGGCCGGACGCCGCCGGAGGUUACAAACCCUGAAUUUUAGUGUAUCUCUGAGUACGAAACCAAAUAAUUAAAACUUUCAACAACGGAUCUCUUGGUUCUGGCAUCGAUGAAGAACGCAGCGAAAUGCGAUAAGUAAUGUGAAUUGCAGAAUUCAGUGAAUCAUCGAAUCUUUGAACGCACAUUGCGCCCGCCGGUAUUCCGGCGGGCAUGCCUGUCCGAGCGUCAUUUCACCACUCAAGCCCAGCUUGGCGUUGGGGCACCCGGCCGCCCGGCGGUCGGGGCCCCCAAGAACAUCGGCGGUCUCGCUAGGACCCUGAGCGCAGUAACUCGCGGUAAAACGCGCUUCGCUCGGAGGCUUUCCCGGCGGGCUCCAGCCGCUAAACCCCCUAAACUUCUUAGGUUGACCUCGGAUCAGGUAGGAAUACCCGCUGAACUUAAGCAUA